rnacentral:rRNA from 1 species
UACGUAGGGGGCGAGCGUUGUCCGGAGUUACUGGGCGUAAAGGGCAUGCAGGCGGUCUGGCGCGUUUUGCGUGACAGCGGGUGGCUCAACUACCCGAGCAUGCGAAAGACGGUUGGACUUGAGGGCUCGAGAGGGACACGGAAUUCCGGGUGGAGUGGUGAAAUGCGUAGAGAUCCGGAGGAACACCGAAGGCGAAGGCAGUGUCCUGGCGAGUGACUGACGCUGAGGUGCGAAAGCCAGGGGAGCGAACGGG